GACGAACGCUGGCGGCGUGCUUAACACAUGCAAGUCGAACGGAAAGGCCCUGCUUUUGUGGGGUGCUCGAGUGGCGAACGGGUGAGUAACACGUGAGUAACCUGCCCUUGACUUUGGGAUAACUUCAGGAAACUGGGGCUAAUACCGGAUAGGAGCUCCUGCUGCAUGGUGGGGGUUGGAAAGUUUGGGCGGUUGGGGAUGGACUCGCGGCUUCUCAGCUUGUUGGUGGGGUAGUGGCUUACCAAGGAUUUGACGGGUAGCCGGCCUGAGAGGGUGACCGGCCACAUGGGGACUGAGAUACGGCCCAGACGCCUACGGGAGGCAGCAGUGGGAAAUAUUGCACAAUGGGCGGAGGCCUGAUGCAGCAACGCCGCGUGCGGGAGGACGGCCUUCGGGUUGUAAACCGCUUUCGCCUGUGACGAAGCGUGAGUGACGGUAAUAGGUAAAGAAGCACCGGCUAACUACGU
rnacentral:rRNA from 1 species